rnacentral:rRNA from 1 species
CGGCGAAAGCCGGAUUAAUACCGCAUACGAUCYUGGGAUGAAAGCGGGGGACCGAAAGGCCUCGCGCUCAAGGGGCGGCCGAUGGCAGAUUAGCUAGUUGGUGGGGUAAAGGCCUACCAAGGCGACGAUCUGUAGCUGGUCUGAGAGGACGACCAGCCACACUGGGACUGAGACACGGCCCAGACUCCUACGGGAGGCAGCAGUGGGGAAUUUUGGACAAUGGGGGCAACCCUGAUCCAGCAAUGCCGCGUGUGUGAAGAAGGCCUUCGGGUUGUAAAGCACUUUUGUCCGGAAAGAAAACCUCCGUCCUAAUACGGUGGGGGGAUGACGGUACCGGAAGAAUAAGCACC